rnacentral:rRNA from 1 species
CGGAGGGGGCUAGCGUUGUUCGGAAUUACUGGGCGUAAAGCGCACGUAGGCGGCUUUGCAAGUUAGAGGGGAAAGCCCGGGGCUCAACUCCGGAAUUGCCUUUAAAACUGCAUCGCUAGAAUUGUGGAGAGGUAAGUGGAAUUCCGAGUGUAGAGGUGAAAUUCGUAGAUAUUCGGAAGAACACCAGUGGCGAAGGCGACUUACUGGACACAUAUUGACGCUGAGGUGCGAAAGCGUGGGGAGCAAACAGG